rnacentral:rRNA from 1 species
CACGCCGUAAACGAUGAUCACUCGCUGUUAGCGAUACACAGUUAGCGGCUAAGCAAAAGCAUUAAGUGAUCCACCUGGGGAGUACGGCCGCAAGGCUGAAACUCAAAGGAAUUGACGGGGGCCCGCACAAGCGGAGGAACAUGUGGUUUAAUUCGAUGAUACGCGAGGAACCUUACCUGGGCUUAAAUGUAGAGUGCAUUCCCGAGAAAUCGGGAUUUCCUUCGGGACUUUCUGCAAGGUGC